CCUACGGGAGGCAGCAGUGGGGAAUAUUGCACAAUGGUGGAAACCCUGAUGCAGCGACGCCGCGUGAGUGAAGAAGUAUCUCGGUACGUAAAGCUCUAUCAGCAGGGAAGAAAAUGACGGUACCUGACUAAGAAGCCCCGGCUAACUACGUGCCAGCAGCCGCGGUAACACGGAGGGGGCAAGCGUUAUCCGGAUUUACUGGGGGUAAUGGGAGCGUAGACGGCAGCACAAGUCUGGAGUGAAACCCCGGGGCUUAACCCCGGAACUGCUUUGGAAACUGGGCGGCUGGAGUGGAGGAGGGGUAAGCGGAAUUCCUGGUGUAGCGGUGAAAUGCGUAGAUAUUGGGAAGAACACCGGUGGCGAAGGCAGCUUACUGGACUGUAACUGACGUUGAGGCUCGAAAGCGUGGGGAGCGAACAGGAUUAGAUACCCCGGUAGUC
rnacentral:rRNA from 1 species